rnacentral:rRNA from 1 species
ACUUGCUUUCUUUGCUGGCGACCGGCGCACGGGUGAGUAACACGUAUCCAACCUACCCUUUACUCGGGGAUAGCCUUUCGAAAGAAAGAUUAAUACCCGAUAGUAUAAUGAUUCCGCAUGGUUUCAUUAUUAAAGGAUUCCGGUAAAGGAUGGGGAUGCGUUCCAUUAGGUUGUUGGUGAGGUAACGGCUCACCAAGCCUUCGAUGGAUAGGGGUUCUGAGAGGAAGGUCCCCCACAUUGGAACUGAGACGCGGUCCAAACUCCUACGGGAGGCAGCAUG